GCUUUGUCACUCGCUCUCUAAGUAAGUAAGUAAAUAAGUAAAUCAACAUUAAAAAAUAAAAAUAAAAAUUACCCCUUUCAGAAAGUUUACACGCCGUAGGCAUUUCUUAUACACUUUGUAGGGGUCACAGACUCCCUGAGACCUGUCUUGGGAUGUCAGGGCCAGAACCCUGGGAAUUUGGGGGGAUUAAAGUGUGGUGUGGAAGGAGCGUGUGGACUGGAAGGCAGCAGGUGCUCCCUGGCUGUGUGGUUCGGGGCAAGACCCGCUGAAGCCCAGCUUCGUGUGUGGAACAGAAUGAUGCCUGCGUUGUAUCUCGUGGGGUCGCUGUAGGCAUUAGAGACCACAUAUGUAAAGUACAUCAAGUGAUCCUUGAUAUGACGUCACCCCAAAAUACAAACUGCUCAUCUUUGUGCCAGUGAGUCUGAGAUAAACGUGAGUUUUUAAAAUUUCUUGGUGGGUGUACAUUUCCUUUCUCAGCUUUUUAUUUUCACAUGCCAGUUUGCACAUAAUUUCUCAGUAAAUAAAUGUGUUGAGUUGAACUUCCUGGGCCAAGCAAUAUUUAUGUCAGUCCAAUAGUAGCAUUGAAUUUGAAUGAUUAUAAAUAUAUGAUUAGGAAUCUUAACCAAAAAGCUUUUAUUUUGGAAUUGAUUAGAAUUUUCCCAUUUAAAUUGUACUGUGUUUCUCUUGAGUAACACCUUAGUUCCUGGGAUUGGCCAGCAUUAAAGAGAAGUAUGUCACACUUUUCUGCGUACUGAACAGUCUAUAAUUAUCAAGAUUAUCCAGUUAACGUAAAGUGCAGUUAUGUUAGCAUAAAGUUUUGUUAUGUAGUUGUUACCAUAGCUGGAGUCGGGUGAGUGUUUAAACCCCUGUGAACUCAAAAUUCUUUUAUGAUGAUGGAAUAUUUCAUGUUUCAGUAUUCUUCAUACACAGUAUGUGUUCAAAUACUUUACCAGGUAUGUGUUUCUUACAGGUUCAUAUAAUAUAUAAAAUGCAUUUCUGUUCCAAGAAAAAUAGAAGUGGUAAACAGUUGGGAGAGAGCUUGCAUAUUUUCCUUUAUUAUCCUGUCUGAUGAUUAAUGCAUUCAGCUAUGUUCAGCCUCACGUUUAACCAGAUCACGGUGCUUAAUGUAAGGUCGGAUUUUCUUGUGAAAACAGGGUUCGGAUUAACUCUGUGUGCUUGCACGCACCCUUCCACACCCGCCCGUGCGGUCAGCUCCAGCAACCUGCUGACGUCACGGUCCUGAUUUCAAGACGGAAGAAUGAGGUGAAGGUCUGCUUUGUGGCGCACAAGUGCAACGGCAAAUUUUGAGCGCGUGGUCGAUCGACAAGUCUCCUUUUCACGGAGGCCAUGAGGCUUAAUGGAAAGGAUGUGAACUUUGAGAUCCACGGUGUGACCUUCGACGAAGUCCUUUAAUAAAAUAGCUGAGUCUCUGGUUCUCGUUGUCUACUUGGCUUGAUUAUUGUGAAGAUUUAUGCGGGGGCUGGCAAACUGCAGUGUACUGGCGUCUUCUUGUAAAUAAAGUUUUAUGGAGACACA